GCGCGAAAACUUUACAAUGCGGGAAACCGUGAUAAGGGAACCCCGAGUGCCUGUAUAUGCAGGCUGUCCAGGUGUCUAAAAAACACCUGAAGAAAGGGCCGGGCAAGACCGGUGCCAGCCGCCGCGGUAAUACCGGCGGCUCGAGUGGUGGCCACUUUUAUUGGGCUUAAAGCGUUCGUAGCUGGGUUGUUAAGUCUCUUGGGAAAUCUGACGGCUUAACCGUCAGGCGUCUAAGGGAUACUGGCAAUCUUGGAACCGGGAGAGGUGAGGGGUACUUCGGGGGUAGGAGUGAAAUCCUGUAAUCCUCGAGGGACCACCUGUGGCGAAGGCGCCUCACCAGAACGGCUUCGACAGUGAGGGACGAAAGCUGGGGGAGCAAACCGGAUUAGAUACCCGGGUAGUCCCAGCCGUAAACGAUGCGCGUUAGGUGUAUCGGUGACCACGAGUCACCGAGGUGCCGAAGGGAAACUGUGAAACGUGCCGCCUGGGAAGUACGGUCGCAAGGCUGAAACU
rnacentral:rRNA from 1 species